rnacentral:piRNA from 1 species
UGAGGAACCUUAAUGGCAUUGUGGCCACC